rnacentral:lncRNA from 13 species
GCUGGAUCAUUUGGCCCAUGCUUCUGUGAAAAUUGUAAUUAUUUUCUAUAAUUAAACUGUAUGAUCAAUAUACCAUACACUUAGUCAUGCCACUAGAGACCACAUGAGAAAUAUGGACUGUACAAAUAGCCAUGAUGUAUCUGCUCCCUGCGGACGAGGUAACCCAUGACCUACGGACGAGGUAACCCCAUGACCUACGGACGAGGUAACUCCAUGACCAACUGAUGAGGUAACCCCAUGACCAAUGGACGAGUUAACCCCAUGACCUGCGGACGAGGUAAACCCAUGACCAACGGACGAGAUGAGAACACACAGAGGAUUAAAGGAGAUGAGCCACUCUCUGAGCAGAGUUAUAAAGCCAACAGCCUAUUACCAACACCCAGCACGAGGAGCAUCUCUCUGUCAGACUGCUCUGCAAACAUGUGGCCUGAUGUUAUCACCUGUAGUGUUUUUCAGGAUCACCAUGUUAGCCACUACAUAGUAUAGUGCUAUAUACUGUAGCUAAAUAAUGAAUUGGUUGUUCCAUUUGAUUCCAAUCACUUCUUGAAUGCACGUCUUUUGAUUUGAACAAAACUUUCCAUACAUAUUUUCCCAUGGUAGAAGUGGCCAGAAAGUAACUUGUUGAACCUAAAUGCAAAAACAUUCAGGAGAUACAGGUGCUCAAAGUUAACCCAUUUUGCAUACCACACCAUACCAUGAGACAUCAAAGUCUUCAUCACUGAAAAAUAUGGAUGGUUAAGUUUGAUAUCAUUUAAAAGCUUACAAACAGUGUUAUCAAACUCAUUGAUAAUUUCUUGAUAAAAAAUAAAAUACAAUUUUCAAUUGCAAAAAAAUGUUCUCAAGAAAUUAGAAAAUAGUUUAACAACCCUGUUAACCCACAGUUGUCUUUUGACCAUCAAUUAAUUCACAUAAAUUUAGCAUCUAAUGGUAGCUUUUCAAAACAUGAAAACGUGUAUCAAUGUGCAGUAUAAUUCCCUAUACACUCAUACUGAAAUGUAAAUCCAGGGCUUGGAGGUUGAAAUAGCAUUUUGUAUGCCUUUUAAUUGAACACACUUUGAAAUCCAUUAUUCAUGUUUUGCACAAAUUGUACUUAAUUUUAGAGAUAUAUGGCAUAUUUAAGGCUUCGUAUGUAAUGGGACAAGACAUGUAAUGUAAUCUGUGGAAAUGUAUAAACAAAUGUACACUUUUUAAAAUCUUAUUAGAAGAUUAGGAGUGUAAAAUGGUUUAGGCAUGGUUGUCUGUUUUAGGGCUAUGGGAUUGGGCUCUUGUCAGUAAAGUAACUCAUAUUUCCUUAUUAAUGGGUUAUUCUAUCUCAUCCUCUAGUCCUUUAGCAUAGCAAUUAAAAGCUUUGUAACAUUUGAGCAUUAGAAUUUCAGUUGAUAUGACCUCUGUGGCAUGUGCAGUACCCUAAUGAACACACAUGUUUACAGUACACAUGCACACAUACCCACCCACACUGGCAACACUUGUAACUACAAGCAUUUUCAAAGACAAUGUUUAUGAUUGUGAAUCUAAUUUUCACAUGACAAUACUAAAACAUGAACUGUAAGUACAAGGCACAUGGUUGUUACUCAGUAUUUAUAUAGGUUAUAGCGGGGUGGGUAGACUGUUAAAAACUGUAUUGUUUCCCAUUGAUUGUACUGAUAACGUG